UCCGUCAUCCUGUAAUCCCACGACGCAUAGGGAGGGGUGAAUGAAUUCAUAAGUUUGUUUAUUAGUCUAUAAAUACAAUGAAACGUCAUUUAUUGGAGUAUUUCGAUACUGAACGUGACGAAUAACACUAUUUGACUCCGACAACACUGCGGUAAAAGCUACUCGAAGACAUUGCGAUUAAGGACUUAUUCAGAACUCACGUCUCCGUUGAAAAAGGGAAGAUUGAAAUACAGAUUUGAGUCUUUCUUCGUGGUACUGAUAAGAAGAAAUAUGGUACAUGUGCCUGUAUCUCUGGCUGGUAUGAAGCGGAUAUUUGUACUUGGUGUCGUCCUAAGUAUUCUGUCAAACGUGUUACCAAGUAAUGCAACUGGUCGUUUAGGAGAUAUGACUGGACAAGAGGAAAACAGCAGACGAUUGGCAGAUGUAACAGGAGACGAUAUGGAUCCAGUAUACACUCUACUGCAGAAGCUUUUAAAUGCCAAAAGAAAACAUGCGGCUAUAAAACGAGGGUGUCCGGAUCCAAGCAAGUGUGUUGGAUGGAAGCGAAGCAUGUCUACUUACCCGGGAAAAUAUUAUGCGUCUGGGUUGAGGAUAGAUGCAGAGAGUUCAUACUAUAACCAGAAUAUGGAUCAACAACACCCAUGGUAUUAAGAAAAAAAUAUAUACAAAAGGACUUGAUUACUUUACUAACAAUUACGAAUUUAAUUUGAACUUUUUCAUUCAGUAGCAAGAAAUUAUAAAUAUCAUACGGAGGAAUGCUGCCUUAAUGAUAAAGCAAACCAUUUUAGUACAUCAAAAGAUAUAAGAAACUUAAAUAUUUAUAUGUCAUUUAAAUAAUAUAUUAAACGAAAAUCCAAUUUAGAUUUAUAGUUAUACAUAAAAAAUAUAUAUAUACGAUAAUUCGACGCCGGGUGGUUAAUAAACGUACUACUUAAAAUUACCAUAACAAAAAAUUAAUAAAUUUUUGGUUUAACACCUACAACGAAGAGCAGAACAAAUUGAAAAAUAUCAUAUAGGCCUAUAGGUCAAGUACAUGGAAUUGAAAACAAGUUUUGUAGACACAGAGGGCGGUAUUCAUCAUAAUUUUGAAUGUAUAACAAAUUAAUUUCGACGUUCAAAAACAUGCAAUCUUUAUUUUAAAAGCAAACUGGUUUAACGUAACGUAAUGCCACACCGAUAAACUUUCCUUAUAUAUUUUCAUGUAAUUGUAAAUAAUAAAAAAAAUAUGUAAUUGGUAAUUUUUUACCAGUUUUUCGUUGACAGCAAUGUUAUUGUCGAAUGUAUUAUUUGUAUUUUUAAGAAUUUUUUUAUUUUCGAAUAUUAUUAAAUGAAGUUUGAGUUUCUAAAA